UACGAAGGGGGCUAGCGUUGCUCGGAAUUACUGGGCGUAAAGCGCACGUAGGCGGCUCUUUAAGUCGGGGGUGAAAUCCUGGAGCUCAACUCCAGAACUGCCUUCGAUACUGUAGAGCUUGAGUUCGGGAGAGGUGAGUGGAACUGCGAGUGUAGAGGUGAAAUUCGUAGAUAUUCGCAAGAACACCAGUGGCGAAGGCGGCUCACUGGCCCGAUACUGACGCUGAGGUGCGAAAGCGUGGGUAGCAAACGGG
rnacentral:rRNA from 1 species